GAUGAACGCUGGCGGCGUGCCUAAUACAUGCAAGUCGAGCGAACGGACGAGAAGCUUGCUCCUCUGAUGUUAGCGGCGGACGGGUGAGUAACACGUGGAUAACCUACCUAUAAGACUGGGAUAACUUCGGGAAACCGGAGCUAAUACCGGAUAAUAUUUUGAACCGCAUGGUUCAAAAGUGAAAGACGGUCUUGCUGUCACUUAUAGAUGGAUCCGCGCUGCAUUAGCUAGUUGGUAAGGUAACGGCUUAGCAAGGCAACGAUGCAUAGCCGACCUGAGAGGGUGAACGGCCACACUGGAACUGAGAAACGGUCCAGACUCCUAAGGGAGGCAGCAGUAGGGAAUCUUCCGCAAUGGGCGAAAGCCUGACGGAGCAACGCCGCGUGAGUGAUGAAGGUCUUCGGAUCGUAAAACUCUGUUAUUAGGGAAGAACAUAUGUGUAAGUAACUGUGCACAUCUUGACGGUACCUAAUCAGAAAGCCACGGCUAACUACGUG
rnacentral:rRNA from 1 species